GGGUUGUGAGGUUAAGCGACUAAGCGUACACGGUGGAUGCCCUGGCAGUCAGAGGCGAUGAAGGACGUGCUAAUCUGCGAUAAGCGUCGGUAAGGUGAUAUGAACCGUUAUAACCGGCGAUUUCCGAAUGGGGAAACCCAGUGUGUUUCGACACACUAUCAUUAACUGAAUCCAUAGGUUAAUGAGGCGAACCGGGGGAACUGAAACAUCUAAGUACCCCGAGGAAAAGAAAUCAACCGAGAUUCCCCCAGUAGCGGCGAGCGAACGGGGAGCAGCCCAGAGCCUGAAUCAGUGUGUGUGUUAGUGGAAGCGUCUGGAAAGGCGCGCGAUACAGGGUGACAGCCCCGUACACAAAAAUGCACAUGCUGUGAGCUCGAUGAGUAGGGCGGGACACGUGGUAUCCUGUCUGAAUAUGGGGGGACCAUCCUCCAAGGCUAAAUACUCCUGACUGACCGAUAGUGAACCAGUACCGUGAGGGAAAGGCGAAAAGAACCCCGGCGAGGGGAGUGAAAAAGAACCUGAAACCGUGUACGUACAAGCAGUGGGAGCACGCUUAGGCGUGUGACUGCGUACCUUUUGUAUAAUGGGUCAGCGACUUAUAUUCUGUAGCAAGGUUAACCGAAUAGGGGAGCCGAAGGGAAACCGAGUCUUAACUGGGCGUUAAGUUGCAGGGUAUAGACCCGAAACCCGGUGAUCUAGCCAUGGGCAGGUUGAAGGUUGGGUAACACUAACUGGAGGACCGAACCGACUAAUGUUGAAAAAUUAGCGGAUGACUUGUGGCUGGGGGUGAAAGGCCAAUCAAACCGGGAGAUAGCUGGUUCUCCCCGAAAGCUAUUUAGGUAGCGCCUCGUGAAUUCAUCUCCGGGGGUAGAGCACUGUUUCGGCAAGGGGGUCAUCCCGACUUACCAACCCGAUGCAAACUGCGAAUACCGGAGAAUGUUAUCACGGGAGACACACGGCGGGUGCUAACGUCCGUCGUGAAGAGGGAAACAACCCAGACCGCCAGCUAAGGUCCCAAAGUCAUGGUUAAGUGGGAAACGAUGUGGGAAGGCCCAGACAGCCAGGAUGUUGGCUUAGAAGCAGCCAUCAUUUAAAGAAAGCGUAAUAGCUCACUGGUCGAGUCGGCCUGCGCGGAAGAUGUAACGGGGCUAAACCAUGCACCGAAGCUGCGGCAGCGACACUAUGUGUUGUUGGGUAGGGGAGCGUUCUGUAAGCCUGUGAAGGUGUGCUGUGAGGCAUGCUGGAGGUAUCAGAAGUGCGAAUGCUGACAUAAGUAACGAUAAAGCGGGUGAAAAGCCCGCUCGCCGGAAGACCAAGGGUUCCUGUCCAACGUUAAUCGGGGCAGGGUGAGUCGACCCCUAAGGCGAGGCCGAAAGGCGUAGUCGAUGGGAAACAGGUUAAUAUUCCUGUACUUGGUGUUACUGCGAAGGGGGGACGGAGAAGGCUAUGUUGGCCGGGCGACGGUUGUCCCGGUUUAAGCGUGUAGGCUGGUUUUCCAGGCAAAUCCGGAAAAUCAAGGCUGAGGCGUGAUGACGAGGCACUACGGUGCUGAAGCAACAAAUGCCCUGCUUCCAGGAAAAGCCUCUAAGCAUCAGGUAACAUCAAAUCGUACCCCAAACCGACACAGGUGGUCAGGUAGAGAAUACCAAGGCGCUUGAGAGAACUCGGGUGAAGGAACUAGGCAAAAUGGUGCCGUAACUUCGGGAGAAGGCACGCUGAUAUGUAGGUGAAGCGACUUGCUCGUGGAGCUGAAAUCAGUCGAAGAUACCAGCUGGCUGCAACUGUUUAUUAAAAACACAGCACUGUGCAAACACGAAAGUGGACGUAUACGGUGUGACGCCUGCCCGGUGCCGGAAGGUUAAUUGAUGGGGUUAGCCGCAAGGCGAAGCUCUUGAUCGAAGCCCCGGUAAACGGCGGCCGUAACUAUAACGGUCCUAAGGUAGCGAAAUUCCUUGUCGGGUAAGUUCCGACCUGCACGAAUGGCGUAAUGAUGGCCAGGCUGUCUCCACCCGAGACUCAGUGAAAUUGAACUCGCUGUGAAGAUGCAGUGUACCCGCGGCAAGACGGAAAGACCCCGUGAACCUUUACUAUAGCUUGACACUGAACAUUGAGCCUUGAUGUGUAGGAUAGGUGGGAGGCUUAGAAGUGUGGACGCCAGUCUGCAUGGAGCCGACCUUGAAAUACCACCCUUUAAUGUUUGAUGUUCUAACGUUGACCCGUAAUCCGGGUUGCGGACAGUGUCUGGUGGGUAGUUUGACUGGGGCGGUCUCCUCCUAAAGAGUAACGGAGGAGCACGAAGGUUGGCUAAUCCUGGUCGGACAUCAGGAGGUUAGUGCAAUGGCAUAAGCCAGCUUGACUGCGAGCGUGACGGCGCGAGCAGGUGCGAAAGCAGGUCAUAGUGAUCCGGUGGUUCUGAAUGGAAGGGCCAUCGCUCAACGGAUAAAAGGUACUCCGGGGAUAACAGGCUGAUACCGCCCAAGAGUUCAUAUCGACGGCGGUGUUUGGCACCUCGAUGUCGGCUCAUCACAUCCUGGGGCUGAAGUAGGUCCCAAGGGUAUGGCUGUUCGCCAUUUAAAGUGGUACGCGAGCUGGGUUUAGAACGUCGUGAGACAGUUCGGUCCCUAUCUGCCGUGGGCGCUGGAGAACUGAGGGGGGCUGCUCCUAGUACGAGAGGACCGGAGUGGACGCAUCACUGGUGUUCGGGUUGUCAUGCCAAUGGCACUGCCCGGUAGCUAAAUGCGGAAGAGAUAAGUGCUGAAAGCAUCUAAGCACGAAACUUGCCCCGAGAUGAGUUCUCCCUGACUCCUUGAGAGUCCUGAAGGAACGUUGAAGACGACGACGUUGAUAGGCCGGGUGUGUAAGCGCAGCGAUGCGUUGAGCUAACCGGUACUAAUGAACCGUGAGGCUUAACCUUACAACGCCGAAG
rnacentral:rRNA from 2 species